CAGAUGGUGCUCUCGUUGUGAGGGCUAAGAGGGAAUCCGGUGCGAAUCCGGAGUUGUACCCGCAACUGUAAGCCGGGAGCGGCAGGCAAACUGAGCCACUAGGGACAAGGACCCCGGGAAGGCUGCCUGACGCGGUGAUCGGCAAACCAGGAAACCUGCCAUCGCG
rnacentral:ncRNA from 1 species